UGCAACGGUGCUGCUUCGCGCUCUUUUUUUUUUUGCCAAUUUUAAAACUUUCGGCAGCAGUGGUGGCGGUUUGUUUGUGAUGUUCGCUUGCUUAAAGUGAUGCAAGUUUUCAAGUGAGGAACUUUGGAUCAUGUUUGCGAGAACGGCAUCAACAACACCGCUUUAUUUCAGUUCGGUGGUUAGGAAUGGUCUAAUGUGAGCUACUAUGCUGUCACCCUCUAUCAAAAUUGUAGCCGACUGGCUGACAACACUGCUGCUUGAGCAUCAUCUGCGACUCAAAGAAUACUAGCAACCAUUGGGCCCGCCAAUCCCUGUGUAAGCAGCUGCAUCUGAGGUGGCACAAAGAAGGAAGUUCCGAAGCUGUGGUUUCAUCGGCCAUCUUUCUCCAUGGGAGUCCCAGCUGUUCGUAGAAGAUUGCAACAAAGUAUUCCAGGGUGAAAACCAAGCCUUUCCAGUUAGCAGAAAUGGUGGGCCUCCUAAUCAAAACAUGGCUCCAGGGCCCACAACGAGCUCUUUGUGUGACAAGAAAUCAAGGGCUUGACAACAGCUCAUCUGGUUGGGGAUUAACUUGACACAAGAAAGACGCUGACCAGUCAAAGUAACAUUUGCAACUCUUUCAGAAGCCAACCUGAAGAGGUGAAAAGGCACUGUCACAAACAAUUUUUAAAUAAAUCUGUUGCAUUUUCAUUGACCCCUGGAACCUACCAUGCGGUCUUGGUGCUUC